rnacentral:rRNA from 1 species
UACGUAGGGGGCAAGCGUUGUCCGGAUUUAUUGGGCGUAAAGAGCGUGUAGGCGGCCAGGUAGGUCAGCUGUGAAAACUCGAGGCUCAACCUCGAGACGUCGGUUGAAACCACCUGGCUAGAGUCCGGAAGAGGAGAGUGGAAUUCCUGGUGUAGCGGUGAAAUGCGCAGAUAUCAGGAAGAACACCCGUGGCGAAGGCGGCUCUCUGGGACGGUACUGACGCUGAGACGCGAAAGCGUGGGAGCGAACAGG